CCUACGGGAGGCUGCAGUAGGGAAUAUUGCUCAAUGGGGGAAACCCUGAUGCAGCAACGCCGCGUGGGGGAUGAAGUAUUUCGGUAUGUAAAGCUCUAUCAGCAGAGAAGAAAAUGACGGUACCUAACUAAUAAGCCCCGGCUAACUACGUGCCAGCAGCCGCGGUAAUACGGAGGGGGCAAGCGUUAUCCGGAUUUACUGGGCGUAAAGGGCGCGUAGGCGGGUAUGCAAGUCUGAUGUGAAAGCCCAUGGCUUAACCAUAGAACUGCUUUUGAAACUGUAAAUCUAGAGUGCAGGAGAGGUAAGUGGAAUUCUUGGUGUAGGGGUGAAAUCCGUAGAGAUUAGGAGGAAUACUCGUUGCGAAGGCGGCCUACUAGAACGUAACUGACGCUGAGGCUCGAAGGCGUGGGGAGCAAACAGGAUUAGAUACCCGGGUAGUC
rnacentral:rRNA from 1 species